AUUGAACGCUGGCGGCAUGCCUUACACAUGCAAGUCGAACGGCAGCACGGGAGCAAUCCUGGUGGCGAGUGGCGAACGGGUGAGUAAUAUAUCGGAACGUGCCCAGUCGUGGGGGAUAACGUAGCGAAAGCUACGCUAAUACCGCAUACGAUCUAUGGAUGAAAGCGGGGGAUCGCAAGACCUCGCGCGAUUGGAGCGGCCGAUAUCAGAUUAGGUAGUUGGUGGGGUAAAAGCCUACCAAGCCUUCGAUCUGUAGCUGGCCUGAGAGGACGACCAGCCACACUGGAACUGAGACACGGUCCAGACUCCUACGGGAGGCAGCAGUGGGGAAUUUUGGACAAUGGGCGCAAGCCUGAUCCAGCAAUGCCGCGUGCAGGAUGAAGGCCUUCGGGUUGUAAACUGCUUUUGUACGGAACGAAACGGUUCUUUCUAAUACAGAGAGCUAAUGACGGUACCGUAAGAAUAAGCACCGGCUAACUACGUG
rnacentral:rRNA from 1 species